rnacentral:rRNA from 1 species
GUCCAGACUCCUACGGGAGGCAGCAGUGGGGAAUAUUGCACAAUGGGGGAAACCCUGAUGCAGCGACGCCGCGUGAGUGAAGAAGUAUUUCGGUAUGUAAAGCUCUAUCAGCAGGGAAGAAAAAAGACGGUACCUGACUAAGAAGCCCCGGCUAACUACGUGCCAGCAGCCGCGGUAAUACGUAGGGGGCAAGCGUUAUCCGGAAUUACUGGGUGUAAAGGGUGCGUAGGUGGCAUGGUAAGUCAGAAGUGAAAGCCCGGGGCUUAACCCCGGGACUGCUUUUGAAACUGUCAUGCUGGAGUGCAGGAGAGGUAAGCGGAAUUCCUAGUGUAGCGGUGAAAUGCGUAGAUAUCGCGCAGAACUCCGAUUGCGAAGGCAGCAUGCCGGCUCCACACUGACGCUGAGGCACGAAAGCGUGGGUAUCGAACAGGAUUAGAUACCCUCGUA